GAGGAAUAAGCAUCGGCUAACUCUGUGCCAGCAGCCGCGGUAAUACAGAGGGUGCAAGCGUUAAUCGGAAUUACUGGGCGUAAAGCGCACGUAGGCGGUUUAGAAAGUCUUUUGUGAAAUACUCCAGCUCAACUGGGGCCCCGCAAAAGAAACUUCUAGACUUGAGGGAAGUAGAGGUACAGGGAAUUUCCGGUGGAGCGGUGAAAUGCGUAGAUAUCGGAAGGAACACCAAUAUGGCGAAGGCACUGUACUGGGCUUUACCUGACGCUAAGAGACGAAAGCUAAAGGAGUGAUUAGGAUUAGAUACCCUAGUAAUUUUAGCCGUAAACGAUGGAAACUCACUGCCGAGCCGGUAUUCGGAGCGGUGGUCAAGCUAACGCGUGAAGUUUCCCGCCUGGGGAUUACGCAUGCAAAUGUGAAACUCAAAGGAAUUGACGGGGACCCGCACAAGCGGUGGAGUAUGUGGUUUAAUUCGAUGCAACGCGAAAAACCUUACCAAGGUUUGAAAUCAUUCUAAAACUCUUUGAAAGAAGAGCCUCCUUCGGGAUAGAAUGACAGGUGGUGCAUGGCUGUCGUCAGCUCGUGUUGUGAAAUGUCAAGUUAAGUCCUGUAACGAGCGCAACCCAUGUCUUUUGUUGCUGUUUACAGUGCUUAAAAGAGACUGCCGCUCUACAGCGGAGGAAGGUGUGGAUGAUGUCAAGUCAGCAUGCCCCUUAUAUCUUGGGCUACACACGUACUACAAUGGUAGGGACAACGAGUCGCAAACCUGCGAAGGCUAGCCAAUCUCAAAAACCCUAUCUCAGUUCAGAUUGUACGCUGCAACUCGCCUGCAUGAAG
rnacentral:rRNA from 1 species